rnacentral:tRNA from 1 species
GCCUAGUUAGCUUAGUUGGUAGUGCGUCUGCCUUGUAAGCGCUAGGCCGCGGGUUCGAUUCCCGUCCGCGGCG